AGCCAGUGAUGACAACCUAUCCUGGUUCUGCGAAUUUCUUAAGUAGUUUUUUAAUCUCUUCAGAGCUGAAAAUGAGCGUUCAUCUGCAGCACUUGUCGCUGGUAUUGUUAAUACUAGCUCACAUAAUUUGAAGAUUUGCGGGAAAACGCAUGAUAACUGAAGAGCAUACAUAUAUUGAUGAAAUGAGGUUCUAUACAUGGGAAAGUAUCUGGCAUCAAGAAGACUCAAGAAGAGGAGCGUAGCGUUCUCCGAAAAUCUAACAGAGACAUUCUGACACACGACAUCAAUAAUUUCACAGAACAGCCGUUUAUAGGAGUUUUUUCUUUCUUCUCCACUCAUUGAGUCAAUGCGAAUUCUUUUGGGUCGAGUUGGGCCAUUUGAAUCGAAGACAUUUUCCAUUUCACUCCAAAGGUGGUCAAAUCCUCCCCUUAAUCUUUGCAUGUGAUGCUUAAAUUCGUCUAUUUUGGUAUUGCAAAAAGCUAUAUCAGAUCUCUUAGUUUGUAGGAUUUUGAAAAGAGCGCCAGAAUAUGGAAAAAUUGAAGAAAAUAUUUUCAGCAUGAAAUUGAAAUCGAAAUCCCUUAGAAGAGAGAGAAGUCCGCGUGCAGAAGAAAUUGUUUCUACAUCCCAUUCUUCUGGUUCCUCUAUUAUAGACACAAGAAGAUUCUCAAUUCCUUCUCUGUAUUCAUGCACAGUUUCAGCAAGUCGGCUAUGGUACUGCCAUCGAGUAGGUGCGAUAGAAGGAAAUCUUUUCCUAAGGUGGGAAUCCAAUGCUUCAGUCCUUUUUGUGGA